rnacentral:lncRNA from 1 species
UGAUCACGAACCCGUGUCACAAGGGAGGCUGAGCGUAGGGCUCUGCCGGGUAUCCUUAGGAUGCACUGCUUGUGUUCUGUUUACACUGAUCGGUUCUGUUUGUACCAAUCAUCUCACAGAAUGUGAACAAAAGCUUAUCCUCAGGGAGCCCUCUGGGAGAUGGCAGUUUGGACACUUCAGCAGUGACGCAGCAGCUGAGGGAAGGAGAAGCAACGGGUUAAGCAGCAUCAGCAGAAAGUGGCUGUAAUUGAAGAGGAUAUUUGAAGAAAGAAAAUGCAGUCUUUUCCACUUUCAUGACCCAAUUUUUUUACUCAUGGUAAAGGCUUCUUUCUCCUCAUUUUGGUAUUAGCUAUGUUUGGGAAGUAUUGAGCUUUAUCUUUGCUCGUGGAUAAUAACAUUUAAAAAUAUGUAUUAUUUACUUAAUUGUUGCUGCUAAAUGCUGUGAUUCUUCUUAUUCUUUCCUUCCAUUACUUUUUAGUAGCAUAAACUGCUCCAUCUCUUGUUUGAUUCUAUGGGGAACACUCCCA